rnacentral:rRNA from 2 species
UAAGCAAUUAUACAGCGAAACUGCGAAUGGCUCAUUAAAUCAGUUAUCGUUUAUUUGAUAGUACCUUACUACUUGGAUAACCGUGGUAAUUCUAGAGCUAAUACAUGCUAAAAACCCCGACUUCGGAAGGGAUGUAUUUAUUAGAUUAAAAACCAAUGUCCUUCGGGACUCCCUGGUGAUUCAUAAUAACUUUUCGAAUCGCAUGGCCUUGCGCCGGCGAUGGUUCAUUCAAAUUUCUGCCCUAUCAACUUUCGACGGCUGGGUAUUGGCCAGCCAUGGUGACAACGGGUAACGGAGGGUUAGGGCUCGACCCCGGAGAAGGAGCCUGAGAAACGGCUACUACAUCCAAGGAAGGCAGCAGGCGCGCAAAUUACCCAAUCCCGACUCGGGGAGGUAGUGACAAUAAAUACUGAUACAGGGCUCUUUUGGGUCUUGUAAUUGGAAUGAGUACAAUUUAAUUCCCUUAACGAGGAACAAUUGGAGGGCAAGUCUGGUGCCAGCAGCCGCGGUAAUUCCAGCUCCAAUAGCGUAUAUUAAAGUUGUUGCAGUUAAAAAGCUCGUAGUUGAACCUUGGGCCUGGCUGGCCGGUCCGCCUCACCGCGUGCACUGGUCCGGCCGGGUCUUUCCCUCUGGGGAGCCGCAUGCUUUUUAUUAAGCGUGUCGGGGAACCAGGACUUUUACUUUGAAAAAAUUAGAGUGUUCAAAGCAGGCUUAUGCUCGAAUACAUUAGCAUGGAAUAAUAGAAUAGGACGUGCGGUUCUAUUUUGUUGGUUUCUAGGACCGCCGUAAUGAUUAAUAGGGACAGUCGGGGGCAUCAGUAUUCAAUUGUCAGAGGUGAAAUUCUUGGAUUUAUUGAAGACUAACUACUGCGAAAGCAUUUGCCAAGGAUGUUUUCAUUAAUCAGGAACGAAAGUUAGGGGAUCGAAGACGAUCAGAUACCGUCGUAGUCUUAACCAUAAACUAUGCCGACUAGGGAUCGGACGAUGUUAUUUUUUGACUCGUUCGGCACC